CUUUUAGGCGCAAUGAAGUACAUGUUGUUUACCGUUUGCAUCCUCCUGGUGUUUGUUAUGGCCAAGGAAGCAGAUGCUUGCGGGAACUCCGGUGAUCAUUGUAACAACGACUGCUGUGGUGGUUUUACGUGUGACUGGGAUCAAGGGCUCCCUACGGUCUAUGGCAUACGUGUCGCGGAGGCACCGAGGCCCUGUGGAUCCUUUCCCGGCUGCCAAUCGUAAUGUUAUUAUCUCAUCUUCGCCGCAGGAUGUUACAAGGAUCUUUAUUGAAUAAUUAAGAUGUAAAGUGUUCAAAAUAAAAAUUGCGAUAUCAACUUAUAA